UUUUCGCUCCCUCAUUUUCAGAAGAAGAAAACCCUUAUUUUCCUAUCUCCUUCCCUCGCCGGUUUUCCCUUACAGUUACCACGCUCUCUCGCUUCUCUAAUCAAUAUCGACCAAUGUUAAAGAAAAAUACACGCUCUGUCGCCACUCUCCUCCAUCCACCCAGAAUUUUCGAGUUACAAGAGUGGGUUGAUUUCAAUUUUCUUUAUUUGUCUCUACAUAUAUUCAAUUUGAAAUCUCAACUCAGUGUUCACUGUUUCUAGAUAUAACCGGAGGUAAAUUCCUGCUAACUACUCAACCACAGUCGGCUUUCGAUUUUCUAAAAUUCAUUUUUAUUUUCUUCUAUAUGUCGAAUUCCUAAAUCUUGAUUUGGAUUCGUUUUCAAAUUUCCGCUUAAUUAAUUUUGAUUCAUGAUUUGGCUACAGUUUGUGUUGGUUGUUGCUCGCAAUCAUUGUAGCUAUUGCAGUUAUUAUGGAACGCUUAAUUUUUCAUCAAUUGUCAAAAGUAUGCCGAAAGUAUCGAGUUGAGCUCAAAGUUUAUAAUGCUAUGCCCAAAAUUCAUGUCAGUUUGAAUAAUAAAAAAAAAAAGGUAGAUUGAUAGUGGAUGUAAGGAUUUUAGUGUUCAUCUAUUGAAAGAGUUGUAUAAUGGCGAUCAAAAUUCCGGCCAGCUUGCUAUUUUUUUGAUUCCUUGAAUCGAGCUCACUUGUUCUAAUAAGAGAUUUUAGUUUUACUAAUUGGGGACUAAAGAGUGUGAUUAGUUCUUUAUUUCUUGGUGUCUACUUAUAUGAAUGAAUUAGGGAUCGGAUGAGAUUGGUUCUACAAUAAACGUACUUGAAAGUUAUUAGUUGAGUAUUUGUGUAAGUGAGGGAGUGUGUGGGUGGUUCUGGGGCUGCCAGGCAUGUUGGGCUGGUUAUGCGUGUCUUAGGGACUGGUUAUACUGCACUUUCGGAGCUACUAGUCUUGUGGUAUAUCUGGUUUAAUUCUUGAAUAAUAGUUAAAUGUCAAGUACUCAGGCUCAAGUGUUACAGAUUGAACCAUCCGCUUAACUGAGCUUAGUAUUGUUGCUCUUAAAUUCAUGUUAACUUUACCUCUAGCUCCCUUUGUCUAACAAGAAUAUUUUCUCAACAUCAUUGCUUUGAUCAGUUUUCAACUUGAGCCUUAGAGUAUGAAAAAUGCAUUUAACUAGACAAAUCAAGAAGGCUAAGAGAAGGUCAUUGAUUAGCUUGGUCACGAUUAAGUAGAACAGUUCUUUAUUGGGCUUAUUAAUGAUUGGAUUAAACCUUGCCUCCCUUAAAUGAGUUUUACCUUAAAAGUUAGUUGGAAUUGUGCUAGUCUUGUAUUAUUAUCUGUCCGUUGAGUGAAACCCUUUUUCUGUCAUAAGAUAGUUUUAUAGGAUGUGUUGAUAAGCAGGUUGCUCAAGACUUCAAGAGCAUUAGCAAUCACUUAUCGUGUACCCUCUCCAGUCACUAGAGAGAAGUUCAAAUUGAGUUUUUAUGUUGAUCUCUGUCUUAUGUCAUACAUUCUCCACAAAUAUAGUUAGGACUCAAUUCUUUGUGUGCCUCCCAAACAUUAACGAGAAUAUUCUACCAUAGACUGCAAACAGAGUUGGACCUAGAAUCAAGCCCCAAGCUCAUCUGAUAAAAUUCUUGAAUAUUUGGUAUUACUUCCCUAGUUUUGUACACUCAAUACUUUUGCAAGAGCACAUUAUUGAUUCCUGAAGAUGAUGACAAUACUUUGUCUCUAGCAUAAUUUUAUAUUAUUCUUAUGCUGGUUAACUUGCAUAAACCAUUGUGAAAAACCUUUCCUUCAAAAUAAAAUGUUCUGAAGGUUUUUGGUAGACAAUGAUAGCAGAAUCAAGACAAUCCCAAAAACCAAGUCCCUGGUGAACGCGUACAUGUGGAUUUAGUGUUUGGCAGAGACGACUGGAGAACUUGAAUCCACCAGAUGUUGAAUAUUGUGAUUAUUGUCCUGAGUCGAAGCAGCCUGACAUUCAGAUUUAAAAUGAUGAUACUACGGAUUCAACCAUCAAUUUCGAUCCUGAAAGGAUGAUUGAAAUCAUUGGAGAGAUAAGUAUGGAUGGCUUGAGAAGCUUGGUAAAUAAGUUGGAAAACAUAAACGAAAAUAGUCCUGCGAAAUGGCUUCCGAUGUCUGUUCCUCUACCAGAGACUCUAACUGAGUCCAUGGAGUUCUUAGCAAGAUCAUGGAGUAUCUCAGCAACAGACUCAGCAAAGCUCUCCUUUGAGAAGACACUGUUUGAGUUUCUUAGUGAUGAACUGAAUCUGAAUAUGACAAAUACCUUGCUGUCAAAUGAAUAUGCAACUAAUCAUCUUAUACAGCUCCAGUAUGUAAGUCAUUUUAUAUAGCUCAUGUAAUUGUUUUUUUAUGAAUUUUGUUUUCAUUUUUUGCAGGAAGUGGAAUGACCGCGAUGUGGACAUAGUCCUCUAGAUUCUCCAAGAUGGAGUGACAACACCAAGGGGAGUCGAUCAUCAUUCAAAGUGCAUCCCAAGUGUAGUGGACCUUUGAAUAUUGGGAAGCUCACUACAGAGGCCUAAAGUUCUCUUCCACCCACAAGAGAGUCAAUCUGCAAAACCUCAAAACCCCAAAAGUCUCAAUGGACGCCGAAACCCUCCUACCAAAGUCCUUCACACGGCGACGAGUUCCUUCAGGCGGCGGCGAUUUAUUUCAGAUGGCGGCGUUUUCUCUCGCCCUGCGCCCUACGAUGCUUCUUCUCACUACGAAAUUGAAUUUUAAGGUGUUCUUGUGUUGGGUUGCUUGAGGAGGCAGAGAUUGUGGAUGUUACAUACUAUUAUGCUUAGGUAUCUCGCAUCGCCUGGAAGCUCACCAGGUUGUAAAACUAGGAGCUUUUUAACCAUUGUCUACAAUUUCUUAUUUUAAAAGGCUGAAAUUUUGAAAGUUAUUGACUAUUGUAGCUCAUAUUGGUGGUAUAAUAUUUGUUAAAGUAGUAUCUGGAUUGUUGGAAAAAUGGGUUCAGAAGGUCCUGCACCGUCAGCAGUAACAGACUAACAGUUCAUGUUAAGAAGUUUCAUGGAGUUGCUGAAAAUCCGACAGAGACAAUUGUGCGUAAUCUGAAAGAAUACAUGGAGAAGAAGGGUUUACCAAAAGGGCUGGCUUUAGGGAGCUGCAAUGUUCUUGAAACUGCAGGACUUGGGGCAUUUGCUCCUCUUCAUCAGACGCUGCCAUCUGCCAUUAAUAGGAAUGAUUCAGAAUUGCCAAAUUCUGGGACUGUUAUUUGGGUAUGCAGAGAUCGUAUAAUUCAGGAGGAGUUCAAUUCUCUAAGCCUUUCUAAGUUGCAGAAGUAUUUGACAGAUGAGGAAUACAGAUAGUCUCUCUCCCCGUCAGUUUUGCUCAGGUUUUCUUCUGGGAAAUAUGCUUUUUGUCCCUGCUACAAUAUGGCUCUUGGGUUUUAUAUCUUGUUGCGAGAUGUAGACCAAUUUGGUGCUAACUAUAACAGUUUUGCUGGCCGGCCAGUGAGAGAUAGAUGAAGAUAUAUCUCGACUAAAGACUAGUUGUCAGCUUACUAGCUGAUCUUGGCUGCAAUUGAUCAAUCUUGUUCGAGGAUCUCAUAAAUUAAAUCUCCCAGUUUGGGGCUGCAGAGCUACAUGCGGUCUCUUCCUUCAUAGGCGGGAUUGCGUCACAUGAAGUGAUAAAGUACUUUUCAGAUUGUCAGUUUCCAAGUUAUGACAAGGAGCAGAUUGACUAAGUAAGAACCGAAUGGGUGCGCCAUGUUGUUCAACAAUUGUAUAAUAGCUAGGUUAUGUUGAAGGAACAAAAAAAAUAAGACUCUAUUAAUUAAUGUAUUUUACGUAGUUUAAUGUUUAGAAUUUUAUUUUAGAUCUAUGUAAUCGGUUUUAUUAGGGUUACAAUUGCAAAAAUUCUUUUAAUUCAGGUUUGGAAAUUAAUUUUCAACUAUUUACUAUUCUUCAA